GAGUUUGAUCCUGACUCAGAACGAACGCUGGCGGCAUGCCUAACACAUGCAAGUCGAACGGGAUCCAGGCUUCGGCCUGGUGAGAGUGGCGGACGGGUGAGUAACGCGUGGGAACCUGCCCAAUGGUCUGGGAUAACCGCGGGAAACUGCGGCUAAUACCGGAUAAGCCCGAGAGGGGAAAGAUUUAUCGCCGAUGGAGGGGCCCGCGUCCGAUUAGGUAGUUGGUGAGGUAACGGCUCACCAAGCCGACGAUCGGUAGCUGGUCUGAGAGGAUGAUCAGCCACACUGGGACUGAGAUACGGCCCAGACUCCUACGGGAGGCAGCAGUGGGGAAUUGUUCACAAUGGGCGCAAGCCUGAUGACGCAACGCCGCGUGGGGGAUGAAGGUCUUCGGAUUGUAAACCCCUGUCGAACGGGACGAAAGACUCGGAGCUAAUCAUCUCGAGAGUGACGGUACCGUUAAAGGAAGCCACGGCUAACUCUGUGCCAGCAGCCGCCGUAAU
rnacentral:rRNA from 1 species